GACGAACGCUGGCGGCGUGCCUAAUACAUGCAAGUCGAACGAACCGCGACUGAGUGCUUGCACUUGGUCAAGGUGAGUGGCGAACGGGUGAGUAACACGUGGGUAACCUACCUCAUAGUGGGGGAUAACAGUCGGAAACGACUGCUAAUACCGCAUAGGACAUAGGAUCACAUGAUCCAGUGAGGAAAGGUGGCGCAAGCUAUCGCUAAGAGAUGGACCCGCGGUGCAUUAGCUAGUUGGUCGGGUAAAGGCCUACCAAGGCGAUGAUGCAUAGCCGACCUGAGAGGGUGAUCGGCCACAUUGGGACUGAGACACGGCCCAAACUCCUACGGGAGGCAGCAGUAGGGAAUCUUCCGCAAUGGACGCAAGUCUGACGGAGCAACGCCGCGUGAGUGAAGAAGGUCUUCGGAUCGUAAAGCUCUGUUGUUAGAGAAGAACAGCGCAUAGAGUAACUGCUAUGCGUGUGACGGUAUCUAACCAGAAAGCCACGGCUAACUACGUG
rnacentral:rRNA from 1 species